UACGGGGGGAGCAAGCGUUGUUCGGAUUUACUGGGCGUGAAGGGCGGGUAGGCGGCCACUGCAAGUCGGUUGUGAAAUCUCCGGGCUUAACUCGGAAAGGUCAAUCGAUACUGCAGGGCUAGAGUGCAGAAGGGGCAACUGGAAUUCUCGGUGUAGCGGUGAAAUGCGUAGAUAUCGAGAGGAACACCUGCGGCGAAGGCGGGUUGCUGGGCUGACACUGACGCUGAACUGCGAAAGCUAGGGGAGCGAACGGG
rnacentral:rRNA from 1 species